rnacentral:rRNA from 1 species
GAGGAAAAGAAACUAACAAGGAUUCCCCUAGUAGCGGCGAGCGAAGCGGGAAGAGCUCAAAUUUAUAAUCUGGCACCUUCGGUGUCCGAGUUGUAAUCUCUAGAAAUGUUUUCCGCGUUGGACCGCACACAAGUCUGUUGGAAUACAGCGGCAUAGUGGUGAGACCCCCGUAUAUGGUGCGGACGCCCAGCGCUUUGUGAUACAUUUUCGAAGAGUCGAGUUGUUUGGGAAUGCAGCUCAAAUUGGGUGGUAAAUUCCAUCUAAAGCUAAAUAUUGGCGAGAGACCGAUAGCGAACAAGUACCGUGAGGGAAAGAUGAAAAGCACUUUGGAAAGAGAGUUAACAGUACGUGAAAUUGUUGGAAGGGAAACGCUUGAAGUCAGACUUGCUUGCCGAGCAAUCGGUUUGCAGGCCAGCAUCAGUUUUCCGGGAUGGAUAAUGGUAGAGAGAAGGUAGCAGUUUCGGCUGUGUUAUAGCUCUCUGCUGGAUACAUCUUGGGGGACUGAGGAACGCAGUGUGCCUUUUGGCGGGGGUUUCGACCUCUUCACACUUAGGAUGCUGGUGGAAUGGCUUUAAACGACCCGUCUU